AAAUAAGGACAUAACACAUGCAAAUUAAACAAUAAUUAUAAGAAUAAUAAUUAUAAUGUAGUGAAGACGUGAGUAAAAAAUUAGGAAUAAUGAACUAUAAAAUAAGUUAAAUGCUUAAUAUCUAUCCUUUUGGAUAAGUAAAGAAUAUGAGAAUAUUUGUUUAUAGUCAAGCCAAUAAUGGUUUAGGUAGUAGGAUUAAUAAAGUUAAGCCUAGCCAACGAUCCAUAAUCGAUAAUUAAAGUUAGAACGAUCACGUUGUUUGAAAUAUAAUCAAUAUCUAUAGAUACAGCAGUGGGGAAUAUUAGACAAUGAUCGAAAGAUUGAUCUAGUUACUUAUUAGGAUGAUAUUAAAA
rnacentral:rRNA from 1 species